rnacentral:rRNA from 1 species
ACUCCUACGGGAGGCAGCAGUAGGGAAUCUUCCACAAUGGGCGCAAGCCUGAUGGAGCAACACCGCGUGAGUGAAGAAGGGUUUCGGCUCGUAAAGCUCUGUUGUUAAAGAAGAACACGUAUGAGAGUAACUGUUCAUACGUUGACGGUAUUUAACCAGAAAGUCACGGCUAACUACGUUCCAGCAGCCGCGGUAAUACGUAGGUGGCAAGCGUUAUCCGGAUUUAUUGGGCGUAAAGAGAGUGCAGGCGGUUUCUAAGUCUGAUGUGAAAGCCUUCGGCUUAACCGGAGAAGUGCAUCGGAAACUGGAUAACUUGAGUGCAGAAGAGGGUAGUGGAACUCCAUGUGUAGCGGUGGAAUGCGUAGAUAUAUGGAAGAACACCAGUGGCGAAGGCGGCUACCUGGUCUGCAACUGACGCUGAGACUCGAAAGCAUGGGUAGCGAACAGGAUUAGAUACCUUGGUAGGAUAGCG